rnacentral:rRNA from 1 species
AACGAACGCUGGCGGCAUGCCUAACACAUGCAAGUCGAACGAGACCUUCGGGUCUAGUGGCGCACGGGUGCGUAACGCGUGGGAACCUGCCCUUAGGUUCGGAAUAACUCCCCGAAAGGGGUGCUAAUACCGGAUAAUGUCUUCGGACCAAAGAUUUAUCGCCUUUGGAUGGGCCCGCGUUGGAUUAGCUAGUUGGUAGGGUAAAAGCCUACCAAGGCGACGAUCCAUAGCUGGUCUGAGAGGAUGAUCAGCCACACUGGGACUGAGACACGGCCGAGACUCCUACGGGAGGCAGCAGUGGGGAAUAUUGGACAAUGGGCGAAAGCCUGAUCCAGCAAUGCCGCGUGAGUGAUGAAGGCCGUAGGGUUGUAAAGCUCUUUUACCCGGGAUGAUAAUGACAGUACCGGGAGAAUAAGCUCCGGCUAACUCCGUG